rnacentral:pre_miRNA from 1 species
ACAAUAUUCGGAUCGUUAGUCUACUGAGCAAUUAAUUACACUCGCUCGGUGGAAGAUCUUCCCUUCGUCGU